rnacentral:lncRNA from 1 species
AUAAAACAACUAAGAACUGAUAACCAGAUCUAGAGAAUAUCAUAACAAAUCCAGGAUUGUUAACAAAUUAUUACAGAUCCAAUAACAAAAUAAAUAACAUAUAAAAUCAAUCAUACUAAAACAAAAACACAUGGAAUUGAAAAUCUUCAUACUUGCUCUCUAGACAAACCAGCUGAUUCAAUGAAGGUAAUCCAGUCUUCAAUAGCAUCUGAGUCAAAAUCUUGUCUUUGAACAUGUCUCUUCUUCAAAUGCUUCAUCUUUGUUACAUAUUUCCUCCCACUCAUAGAUGCUCCAACAGAUGGUCCAAUAUGUG